rnacentral:rRNA from 1 species
ACUCCUACGGGAGGCAGCAGUGGGGAAUAUUGGCCAAUGGGCGAAAGCCUGAUCCAGCCAUGCCGCGUGUGUGAAGAAGGUCUUCGGACUGUAAAGCACUUUAAGUUGGGAGGAAGGGCAGUAAGUUAAUACCUUGCUGUUUUGAUGUUACCGACAGAAUAAGCACCGGCUAACUCUGUGCCAGCAGCCGCGGUAAU